UUAGAGUUUGAUCAUGGCUCAGAACGUACGCUGGCGGCACGCCUAACACAUGCAAGUCGAACGCAGUAGCAAUACUGAGUGGCAAACGGGUGAGUAUAAUGUGGGAAUCUGCCUUUUGGUUUGGAAUAACACGGGGAAACUUGUGCUAAUACCGAAUAAGCCCUUACGGGGAAAGUUUUAACGCCGAAAGAUGAGCCUGCACUUGAUUAGCUAGUUGGUAAGGUAAAAGCUUACCAAGGCAACGAUCAAUAGCUGUUCUUAGAGGAAGACCAGCCACAUUGGGACUGAGACACGGCCCAGACUCCUACGGGAGGCAGCAGUGGGGAAUCUUGCACAAUGGGGGAAACCCUGAUGCAGCGAUGCCGCGUGAGUGAAGAAGGCCCUUGGGUUGUAAAACUCUUUCGUCGGGGAAGAAAAUGACUGUACCCGAAUAAGAAGGUCCGGCUAACUUCGUGCCAGCAGCCGCGGUAAUACGAAGGGACCUAGCGUAGUUCGGAAUUACUGGGCUUAAAGAGCUCGUAGGUGGUUAAAAAAGUUGAUGGUGAAAUCCCAAGGCUCAACCUUGGAACUGCCAUCAAAACUUUUUAGCUAGAGUGUGAUAGAGGUAAGUGGAAUUUCUAGUGUAGAGGUGAAAUUCGUAGAUAUUAGAAAGAACACCAAUUGCGAAGGCAGCUUUCUGGAUCAUUACUGACACUGAGGAACGAAAGCAUGGGUAGCGAAGAGGAUUAGAUACCCUCGUAGUCCAUGCCGUAAACGAUGUGUGUUAGACGUUGGAAAUUUAUUUUCAGUGUCGCAGCGAAAGCGAUAAACACACCGCCUGGGGAGUACGACCGCAAGGUUAAAACUCAAAUGAAUUGACGGGGACCCGCACAAGUAGUGGAGCAUGUGGUUUAAUUCGAAGAUACGCGCAGAACCUUACCAACACUUGACAUGUUCGUCGCGACUUUAAGAGAUUAAAGUUUUCGGUUCGGCCGGACGAAACACAGGUGCUGCAUGGCUGUCGUCAGCUCGUGUCGUGAGAUGUUGGGUUAAGUCCCGCAACGAGCGCAACCCUCACUUUUAGUUGCCAUCAUUUAGUUGGGCACUCUGAAAGAACUGCCAGUGAUAAGCUGAAGGAAGGUGGGGAUGACGUCAAGUCCUCAUGGCCCUUACGUGUUGGGCUACACACGUGCUACAAUGGUAUUUACAAAAGGAAGCAAGACGGCGACGUUAAGCAAAUCCUUAAAAAAUACCUCAGUUCGGAUUGCACUCUGCAACUCGAGUGCAUGAAGCUGGAAUUACUAGUAAUCGUGGAUCAGCGUGCCACGGUGAAUGCGUUCCGCGGGUCUUGUACACACCGCCCGU
rnacentral:rRNA from 1 species